GACGAACGCUGGCGGCGUGCUUAACACAUGCAAGUCGAACGGUAAGGCCCUUCGGGGUACACGAGUGGCGAACGGGUGAGUAACACGUGGGUGAUCUGCCCUGCACUUCGGGAUAAGCCUGGGAAACUGGGUCUAAUACCGGAUAGGACCACUGCCUGCAUGGGUGGUGGUGGAAAGCUUUUGCGGUGUGGGAUGGGCCCGCGGCCUAUCAGCUUGUUGGUGGGGUGAUGGCCUACCAAGGCGACGACGGGUAGCCGGCCUGAGAGGGUGACCGGCCACACUGGGACUGGGUUACGGCCCGGACUACUACGGGAGGCAGCAGUGGGGAAUAUUGCACAAUGGGCGCAAGCCUGAUGCAGCGACGCCGCGUGAGGGAUGACGGCCUUCGGGUUGUAAACCUCUUUCAGCACCGACGAACCGCAAGUGACGGUAGGUGCAGAAGAAGGACCGGCCAACUACGUGCCAGCCGCCGCCGUAA
rnacentral:rRNA from 1 species